rnacentral:rRNA from 1 species
AGCNCUGAAACCGAGGUUAAUACCGGAUACUCCAUAUUUGUCGCAUGGCGAAUAUGGGAAAGCUCCGGCGGCAAAGGAUGGGCCCGCGGCCUGUUAGCUAGUUGGUGGGGUAGUGGCCUACCAAGGCAAUGAUGGGUAGCCGGGUUGAGAGACCGACCGGCCAGAUUGGGACUGAGACACGGCCCAGACUCCUACGGGAGGCAGCAGCG